GGAGGUAUAGCUCUGUGGUAGAGUGCAUUCCUAGCAUGUACAAGGCCCUGGGUUCAAUCCCCAGUACCUCCG
rfam:Camelus ferus unplaced genomic scaffold scaffold964, whole genome shotgun sequence.